rnacentral:rRNA from 1 species
AGUGAACGCUGGCGGUAGGCCUAACACAUGCAAGUCGAACGGCAGCGCAGGAGAGCUUGCUCUCUGGGUGGCGAGUGGCGGACGGGUGAGGAAUACAUCGGAAUCUACUUUUUCGUGGGGGAUAACGUAGGGAAACUUACGCUAAUACCGCAUACGACCUACGGGUGAAAGCAGGGGACCUUCGGGCCUUGCGCGAUUGAAUGAGCCGAUGUCGGAUUAGCUAGUUGGCGGGGUAAAGGCCCACCAAGGCGACGAUCCGUAGCUGGUCUGAGAGGAUGAGCAGCCACACUGGAACUGAGACACGGUCCAGACUCCUACGGGAGGCAGCAGUGGGGAAUAUUGGACAAUGGGCGCAAGCCUGAUCCAGCCAUACCGCGUGGGUGAAGAAGACCUUCGGGUUGUAAAGCCCUUUUGUUGGGAAAGAAAUCCAUCUGGUUAAUACCCGGGUGGGAUGACGGUACCCAAAGAAUAAGCACCGGCUAACUUCGUGCCAGCCGCCGCAGUAA